GGCGACGGCGGCCUCUUCAUACGGAGUCCACUCCCUCUCAGUGGCCCCUCGCAGCGGCGCCAACCUACCUGCGGCGGGAAAGCGGAACACUGCCUCCUUCGGGGUCUACUCCCGCGCAACGCGGUACGCGCACGCGGACUCCCGCGACGGCAGCGCAACGGCGUCACGGAGAAGGUCGGGGUCGGUCAGUAGGCGCAGCGGCACACGCGAGAUCGGUAACGUAGGGCACCUACUCGUCGGCUCCGCGUACCUGCGCCCUCGGCGAUCGCUACAACGUCUAGCGAACUAGGUCACGUUCUUUUUGACUUGACAUCUUGAAUAACCUCUGAAGUAUAGAGAGUUAAGCCCUUAAACGAACUUUAUAAUUGAAGUUGAGGACCUUGUAGAGUAUACGAGGUACUGCAAGUUUUGCAGCAACUUCUGGGCCAAGAUUCGGCAUUUCGUACCGUGUAACUUGAUAUCUCAUCAGUAGUCGAAACGAGACGG
rnacentral:rRNA from 1 species